GCGCCGCCCGCCGGGGAGCGCCCCCGCGACCCCACCCCGCAGCUGCGGCCCGCGCAGCUCGCCACCUGCGCGCUCAUACUGCAGGAGAUCAACCGUAAAAUGCAGUGCGUCACGUGGCAGCCGCAGUCUUAGUUCCUCCCGUGACCAUAACGCCAACAACAUAGACAUAUAUAUUACUUCGUAAAGACCGGCCUUACGAGCACUACGAAUGGGGCCGAUACAUUGGAGUGGGAGUGGUGGGUGGAUUGGCGGGCGGCGCGGCGGGCGGGCCGGCCGGGCCGCGCACCGCGCAGGCGCGAGGAGCGCGCCGGUGCCCGCCAGUCUGACCAAUUAAAGAAGGCUCCGUUUCCAUUCAUAUUAUUAGCAAUCAGUUACCUUCUUAACUCAGUCGGAUAAUAUAAUGAAAAAGCACGAGUGUUAUAAUAUACUGAAAAAGCACGCGUGUUUAAUAUCUAGGAUUAUGAGCCAAAAAUCGGUGGAAUAAAAACGUCGUUUUGAGCAAGUGUGUUGAAAA